rnacentral:rRNA from 1 species
CCUACGUGAGGCUGCAGUGAGGAAUAUUGGUCAAUGGGCGAGAGCCUGAACCAGCCAAGUCGCGUGAAGGAUGACGGCCCUACGGGUUGUAAACUUCUUUUGUCAGGGAGCAAUAGGGUCCACGCGUGGGCUUAGCGAGAGUAACUGAAGAAAAGGCAUCGGCUAAAUCCGUUCCAGCAGCCGCGGUAAUACGGAGGAUGCGAGCGUUAUCCGGAUUUAUUGGGGUUAAAGGGUGCGUAGGCGGAAUAUCAAGUCAGCGGUAAAAAUUCGGGGCUCAACCCCGUCGUGCCGUUGAAACUGAUGUUCUUGAGUGGGCGCGAAGUAUGCGGAAUGCGUGGUGUAGCGGUGAAAUGCAUAGAUAUCACGCAGAACUCCGAUUGCGAAGGCAGCAUACCGGCGCCCAACUGACGCUGAAGCACGAAAGCGUGGGUAUCGAACAGGAUUAGAUACCCGAGUAGUC